GACUUCAAAAAUAUUUUGUUAUUGGUAAAUAAUUAAUUGGCCUUUUUAAUCGGAACAGUAAUUUUUUUGAGAAGCAAUUAAAGUAAUUUCAGAAAAGAAAGCCAAAUGCAAUUAAAGCAAGGAAAUUUAGUGCUAAUUGACCAAAAAAAGUAGACCCAUGAAUUUGAUAAUUGCUAGACAAAUUAAUUUUUGCCAAGUCCAUUAAGUACAUGUAUAUGUUGUGCACCCUUGGGUUACCUUCCUUGACAUCUCCGAUGUUUAUGGACUGUUCACCGAUGAAACCCUUCUCGGCAAGCUCCUUACACUUCCUGUACUUAUUACCCACUCCACACAUUUGUUCACACAAGUCUACAUACUUGGUCAUCAAUCUUGUUAAGAGAUCUUGUUAAGAGGAGUAGCUUACAACUAUCAUUUUCAUGUGAAUGCAAGAUUUUUUUCUCCUAUUAGAAUCUAAGUACUCAUUUGAACUUUAAAUGAUAAAAAUUGCUGGUUUGAGGUCAAUAUUUACAUUCUUACACCUUGAUAGAUACUUUUAUUUUAUUCAUUUGAGUUUUUACUUUUACACUACAAGAAUGAUAUCUACACUUAAUUUCCAGCUAUAUUGAUCACUGCGCAAUCUUUGAGCCAGUUGCGUGCAUGUUGUUUGACAAAAUGUAGAAACUAGGAUUAUAUGACAUCGCGUGAUGUAGCUUUGAUGGCAGCUUAGCUGUUUUAAUUCUAUAUUUUAUUUUCUUUAUAUUAUAUAUUGAUUAAAAAAACUGCCUGAUUUUAAUUUUUUCAAGUAUUUUCUGCAGGACACUUCUUACAAAUGCCUCUGUCAUAAUGAAUUUUUAAUCAUCAAAUUGCACAGGCUUUGAAGGAUGGGAUGAGGAAGAUAGUAGACUUGACUACAAAGUUGAGCUUAAAUAAGAGGAUGGGCAGAUGGUCAUACAUGGAGACCAUGCUUAUGCCAGCCUGUGAGGCCUGCUUGUAGCCGCUAGAUAUCGAUUGCAUUGGUUUUUAUUACCAGUACCACAUUGAGACACGUGUUCCUAUCGAAGUCAAAGAAACUAUCCAAGCACUGCAGAGCAUCGUCGAGUACAAUGCAAGCAAGAAACAAGGGUUUAUGCUGACUGAAAUUAGUUUUGGUCGGUGGAAAUAUCAAAAUGAAGUAUGGAAAUCUUGCUGGAGAGUUCCCUCAUCAGAAGAAAAGCCUGCUGGCAGAUAUGUCUUUAUCUCAUUGAGUAAUGGCGCAGUGUAUCAUGCUCCACAAGUAUGCUACUUUUCCUUCAUUUUCUUUGAGGUAUUUACUGAGAGAAAAGGGAAUCUUGAAGUAUGAAUGUAUGAUGAGAGGUAUAAAGUGGGUUUGCCCCACCUUCCUAACCAGCAUGGUCCGUCAGCCAGGAAAAUCCUCUGCCUUCUGCACAAUGCAUCCCUAGACCAUUAUUCGCAUUGGCUUUCUUUUAAAAAACUGUUGAGGAGUACAUGGGGCCUUGAUGCCAGGAUACAAGUUUACAGUUAGAUUCUUGACCAUUAUACCAAGUCCCUGAUUAUCAUGACUGUAAUAAGGGGGCUCAAUGCCAGUACCUCUGGAGAUCCUUCUUUUUGAAUUCCCAGUAUUCAGUUGUCUUCCUUAGUUCCACCCUUCAAUUCAUGAAGCAGAUCGCCGGUCAUCUACGAGAAACAGUCAUAUUGUAAAUGCUGUGGGAUGGCUAGCUAUGUUGAAGCAACACUUGUGCUUCCUGACAUCAGAGGAACCAAAAUCGGGGAAAAAUGGUGGAUCCUUGCACAUUUCAACAAGAAUCUACAGUUACAUUUUCCUUAAGUUCGUUCCAAAGGAAUUGUCAAACCCAUCUAUUCUUUAAUUAGACCAAUAUCUCAUAUAUAAUGCAACAAAAUCUUUAACAUCAAAAGAAUAGUCUCGUGAAAAUCGAAAGGAAUAACAAAAGAAUUAAUAAAAGCAAUGUUCCCUGGCAACGAGGUUGACUUCAUAACAUGGUUAUUAUUCUCUGAACUCUGUAUCAUACGAGAUGCUUACUAUUUAAUUGAAGUGCAUGUUUCACAAGCCUAGGAAAGAAAGUUAUAAAGGAAACUUUAACAAAAUUUCUAUCAUAUGUGAAUCACUUUCAGGGACUUUGGAGAAAUUUAUGACGCCAAGGAGUUUGUAGCAAGCCUAAAUGGAGUAGUCCAAGUAGCCAGGGUUCAACCCACUGAAAUAUCAAGCAUGAAAUUCACUGCUGUGAAAGCCCUUGACAAGGUCCAAGAGGAUUUCAUUACUUCAAAAGUAGAACCUAUAUUUAGGACUAAAAGAAACUUGAGGCUUGCAACAUACUUCGAUUCCUUAUCCUUGGGAAAGUUAAAAGAAACCAUGCACUCAAAUGCAUAUCAAUGCCUGGCUACAUUUCGAAGUUUCAAGUUGCAAGCAGUGUUACAGGGAUUGGUCGAUUCGAGGGUUGGGACACUACAAAGUACGGGCCAGAGAACAGUUGGGCACUUAGUAGCAGUGGACUUGUGGUUUGAUAUGCUGGGAAAGAAGAGGUGACACGAAAAUGUUGAUUCGAGUAAAUGUUGUUGUAAUGCUAAAGAAAUUGGUGAAUUUUUCUCAAGAAGAUUGGUUUUCACAAAGAAACAAUGAUAUACUUGACUCAGAUGGAUGGCAUGGUAGGCUCCAUGAAUUGAGGAAUAUUUUCCCCAACACAUUUACAGAGUUAAUGCGUGCACUUAUUUGUGUUUCAAAUCUCAGUCGAAGGAAUUAUAGCUUCUAAUUUCAUUUGUAAACUCACGAAGGAAUUAUAGCUUCUAAUUUCAUUUGUAAACUCACAGAGGAAUUGCAGCUUUUAAUUUCAUUUGUAAACUCAUGUGCAUAUCAUGCUCUUCUUGCCAUUCUAACUAGAAUGUUGUUUCAAAUGAUCCCACGUGGAUUUUUUGACACAAGCUGCUCAUUCUCUAAGUCACUCUAGAAAUGGUAAACUUUUUAAUAUAUGAUAGAAGUUAAAUGACCGUGCUUACGGAUAAAUUUUGAAAACAUGCAGUAUCCAUCUAAUUUAAUUCGAUUAACUCGUUUACUGAUAACCCAGUUGUUCUUUAGUUGUUACUUUAUUUUGUGUUCUCGGUUGUCAACCUCUCCACAUAGUUGUAAUAGAUUUUUCCUGCUGAUUCUAUGCCAGUUGUUCAUUAACUUCAAUAUUUGCUCGUAAAGUAGUGAUGUCUCUAUACCAGCAUAUCACUGUCGAUUCUAUACAAGUGUUACAGGGAACAGAACAGCUUCUGGCAAAAUGCAAAUAUUUGUUCCACCUGAAAAAUCUUCAAAGAUGGCAAGUGACUAUAUUUCCCCACACAUAACUAGGAGAGCAAUAUUGCACAUUCUUGUUUUUGUUAAAGAGCUUAAUAGGUAUUGUGCAGUGACAUUCGUAUGCCUGCCCAAGAUUGGUCGCAGAACACGACCCAAUUUCUACAUCUUAAUAACAAUUUACAUGUAUGUCCGUCAUCCUUUUCCCAUCCAAAUUUGAGCAUGAAAGGCCCACCAAAAAGCUAGUCGGUAUUUAUCGAAUGCAUGAAAUCUUGUCAAAACUUCUAAUUAUAUCAACAGGUGAACUCUCUGGUUAUUGUUCAACUGCAUGAUCAUCAAGGGAAAUAAUUCAGGACUUUGCUCAUUUGCAUUUAUUAAGGUCCAAUAGCUGAGGAACACACAUGUAUAAGACUUGUAAUAAUUUAACCAAUUUUCACUUCAACGGCUUAGUGAGUAGUGUACUUCAGUGUUUAAA